AGAGUUUGAUCAUGGCUCAGAACGAACGCUGGCGGCGUGCUUAACACAUGCAAGUCGAGUGCGCGUCUGUAGCAAUACAGAUGGCGCACGGCGCACGGGUGCGUAACACGUGGGCAAUCUGCCCUUCGAUGGGGAAUAACUCCGGGAAACCGAAGCUAAUUCCGCAUAACAUUCCUUGGACUUCGGUUCGAGGAUUCAAAGCCGUAAGGCGUCGAAGGAGGAGCCCGCGCCCGAUUAGCUAGUUGGUGAGGUAACGGCUCACCAAGGCAAUGAUCGGUAGCUGGUCUGAGAGGAUGGCCAGCCACACUGGAACUGAGACACGGUCCAGACUCCUACGGGAGGCAGCAGUGGGGAAUCUUGCGCAAUGGGCGAAAGCCUGACGCAGCGACGCCGCGUGGGGGAUGAAGCAUUUCGGUGUGUAAACCCCUUUCGACUGGGACGAAUGCCUCGCAAGAGGAGUGACGGUACCAGUAGAAGAAGCCCCGGCUAACUACGUGCCAGCAGCCGCGGUAAGACGUAGGGGGCCAGCGUUGUUCGGAAUUACUGGGUGUAAAGGGUUCGUAGGCGGUGUGGCAAGUCGGGAGUGAAAUCUAUGGGCUUAACUCAUAGGCUGCUUCCGAAACUGCUGUGCUUGAGUGUGGGAGAGGCGCGUGGAAUUGCAGGUGUAGCGGUGAAAUGCGUAGAUAUCUGCAGGAACACCCGUGGCGAAAGCGGCGCGCUGGACCACAACUGACGCUGAGGAACGAAAGCUAGGGGAGCAAACAGGAUUAGAUACCCUAGUAGUCC
rnacentral:rRNA from 1 species